UACGACUACAUAUCAGGCAUAUCAAUAAGCGGAGGAAAAGAAACUAACUAGGAUUCCCUCAGUAACGGCGAGUGAAGCGGGAAGAGCUCAAAUUUGAAAUCUUCAAGGUUUUACCUUGACGAAUUGUAGUUUAAAGAAGUGUUUUCUGUUGGUGUUUUGGUAAAAGUUCUUUGGAAUAGGACAUCAUAGAGGGUGAGAAUCCCGUAUUUGACCAUUACUUCCAGCGUUGUGAUACACUUUCAAAGAGUCGGAUUGUUUGGGAAUGCAGUCCAAAAUGGGUGGUAAAUUUCAUCUAAAGCUAAAUAUUGGCGGGAGACCGAUAGCGAACAAGUACCGUGAGGGAAAGAUGAAAAGAACUUUGAAAAGAGAGUUAAACAGUACGUGAAAUUGUCAAAAGGGAAGCGUUUGACACCAGUGUUGUUUAGUUGAAAAUCAAUUCAAUAGUUUUUGAUUCUAAGUAGUAUUGACUUCAUCAGCUUGCUGCUUUCUUCUCAGAAAUUAUUGAAUGCACUUUUCAGUUAACAAGUCAACAUCAAUUUCUUUUGUUGUAAAAGGGUAAUGAGGAAGGUGGCUUUCAUUUCGGAUAAAGUGUUUAUAGCCUUUUACCUCUGCAGUCGGAGAGAUUGAGGUCUGCAGCGUAGAUCCUUCGGGGUUAGAUACGUUUGUGCUAAGUUAUAGCUUUUCAUAGACAACUUGUUGACUAUGUUUAGUCUUGUAGCUUACUCGCUUAUGCUAUUUUACCUACGCUUAGGAUGUUGAUCUCUCACAGUCGAGC
rnacentral:rRNA from 1 species